GUGGGGAAUAUUGGACAAUGGGCGAAAGCCUGAUCCAGCCAUGCCGCGUGUGUGAAGAAGGUCUUCGGAUUGUAAAGCACUUUAAGUUGGGAGGAAGGGUAGUAACCUAAUACGUUGCUACUUUGACGUUACCGACAGAAUAAGCACCGGCUAACUUCGUGCCAGCAGCCGCGGUAAUACGAAGGGUGCAAGUGUUAAUCGGAAUUACUGGGCGUAAAGCGCGCGUAGGUGGUUCAGUAAGUUGGAAGUGAAAUCCCCGGGCUCAACCUGGGAACUGCUUUCAAAACUGCUGAGCUAGAGUACGGUAGAGGGUUGUGGAAUUUCCUGUGUAGCGGUGAAAUGCGUAGAUAUAGGAAGGAACACCAGUGGCGAAGGCGACUACCUGGACUGAUACUGACACUGAGGUGCGAAAGCGUGGGGAGCAAACAGGAUUAGAAACCCGGGUAGUCC
rnacentral:rRNA from 1 species